UCCUUUUGUUGUUUUAUAGCAAGUUUGAAUAUUGUGGAAAGUUGCAUGCGUAUGAAUUGCGCAUAUAGAAUCAUUGGAGUGUCUUCAUAGCUUAGGAUGUACGUGAAAAUUAGAGUAUGGCUUCUAUGGUUUUUCGAGGAAGACAAAUCAAUCGCAAAAGGGGAGGUAACAAUCCUAGUGAACGGGAAUGAUGUAUCUGCUGUCCUUCCCGACCAGUUGUGGUUGCUGCCCCUCCACGUACAGUGUACUUCGCGUGCAGACACGAGCGACAUCACCUGGGAGGUGAGGCCGCGUGCCGCGAACGCACAGACCGUCCACAACCGAUCCCUUUAAAUACCGGAAGUUCGUCCGCACGUCGCGGGCACGUACACAUGCCAGGCCCCUUACCCGAACUCGACCGGUGUUGAACGCCUGGGUUACACACUGGAGGUGCUGUAUCUACACAAACCCGUCAUUUUCGGUAUGAAGGCCGUGUUCGAAGAGGAAGAGGUCCGCCUCGAAUGUCACGUAGAAGCAUUCCCACAACCCGUAUACAGGUGGAGGAGUGAACAUGGCAUUCUAUUCCAAACGGGACAAAUCCUGCAGGCGGUACCGGUACCCAGCGACAUUUACCCUCUAUCCGGCGGUUUCGCCAUCACAUACAAAUGUGUGGUGGCCGCUACACUCGUUACUAGCUUUGGCCAGUCACAAGGUGUUGAAAAGGAAGCCUUGUGGCCAAUAGAAGUUUACAAACGUGUACGGACAGGAGGAUUUAGUAACACCGGUCACUUAUAUUCCGUUGAAGAUGGCGGGAACGUGAACAUAACAUGCCUGGCAACCGGAAGUCCAACUCCUUACUUUCGGUGUGAGCUCGUGGCCACGGGCGGGGUUGUAGCACAGGGGCAGAACCUCGUUAUUAUAGGUGCCGCGAGAUCAACUCUUUCCCGUUAAACAAUCGAAGUAUUCUUGGAACAAACGCGUAUGCGGUUGUAAAUAUUGAUGUUUACAUGCCACUAAAUGGCGUCACGGUAGGACAUUUAGAUACGGCACGUAAUGACACAAAUUGUACGCAUUUGACGAAUAGACUUGGCACCUUGACAGACCAUCUACAUAGCUAUCAUAACAACCGUUGACAAACAGACUUGGCAUCUUGGCAGACAAUCUACAUAGCUAUUAUAAGCACAGAUAACUAACAGAUUUGGCACCUUGACAGACCAUCUACAUGGCUAUCAUCAGCACAGUUGACGAACAGUCCUUGCACCUUGACAUACCUUAUGCAUAGCAAUCAUAAGAACAGUUGACGAACAGACUAGGCACCUUAGCAGACCAUCUACUUGGCAGUCAUUAGCACAGUUGACGAACAGACUAGGCACCUUGACCGACCAUCUACAUAGCUAUCAUAAGCAAAGUUGACGAACAGACUAGGCACCUUGACAGACCAUCUACAUGACAAUCAUAAGCACAGUUGACGAACAGACUAGGCACCUUGACCGACCAUCUACAUAGCUAUCAUAAGCAAAGUUCACGAACAGACUAGGUACCUUGACAGACCAUCUACAUUGCUAUCAUAAGCACAGAUGACGAACAGACUUGGAAACUUGACAGAACAUCUACUUAGCAAUCAUAAGAACAGUUGAUGAAAUGACUAGGCACCUUGACAGACCAUCUACAUAGUUAUCAAAAGCACAGUAGACGAACAGACUUGGCAACAUGACAGACCAUCUAUUUAGCUUUCAAAAGCAUAGUUGACGAAUAGACUUGGCACCUUGACAGACCAUCUACAUAGGUAUCAUAAGAACAGUUGACGAAAAGACUUGGCACCUUGACAGACAGUCUACAUAGCUAUCAUAAGCACAGUUGACGAACAGAUUUGGCACCUUGACAGACCAUCUACAUGGCUAUCAUAAGCACAGUUGACGAACAGUCUUUGCACCUUGACAGACCUUAUGCAUAGCAAUCAUAAGAACAGUUGACGAACACACUUGGCAUUUUGACAGACCAUAAAUAUAUCUAUCAUAAGCACAGUUGACGAACAGACUAGUCUACUUGUCAUACCAUCUACAUAGCUAUCAUAAGCACAGUUGACGAACAGACUAGGCAAUUUGAUAUACCAUAUACAUUGCUAUCAUAAGCAAAGUUGGCGAACAGACUUAGCACCUUGACAGACCAUCUACAUAGCUAUCAUAAGCACAGUUGAUGAACAGACUAGGUACCUUGACAGACCAUCUUCUUGGCAAUUAUAAGCACAGUUGACGAACAGACUAGGCACCUUGGCAGACCAUAUACAUAGCUAUCAUAAGCACAAUUAACGACCAGACUAGGCACCUUGACAGACCAUCUACUUAGCUAUCAUAAGAAAAGUUGACGAACAGACUUGGCACCUUGACAGACCAUCUACUUAGCUUUCAUAAGCACAUAUGACGAAUAGACUUGGCACAUUAAAAGACCAUCUACAUAGCUAUCAUAAGCACAUGUGACGAAUAUAAUAGGCACCAUGACAGACCAUCUACAUAGCUAUCAUAAGCACAGUUGACAAAUAAAAUUGGCAUAAUGACACACCAUCUACAUAGCUAUCAUAUGCACAGUUGACGAACAGACUAGGCACAUUGUCAGACCGUCUACAUAGCUAUCAUAAGCACAGUUGACGAAAAGACUUGGCACAUUGACAGACCAUCUUGUUAGCUAUCAUAAGCACAGUUGACGAACAGACGUGGCACCUUGACAGACCAUCUACAUAGCUAUCAUAAAGACAGUUGACGAACUGACUUGGCAACUUGACAGACCAUCCACAUAGCUAUCAUAAGCACAGUUGACGAACAGACUAGGCAACUUGACAGACCAUUUACUUAGCUAUCAUAAGCACAGUUGACGAACAGACUAGGCCAUUUGAUAGACUAUAUACAUAGCUAUCAAAAGCAAAGUUGGUGAACAGACUUGGCACAUUGACAGACAAUCUACAUAGCUAUCAUAAGCACACUUGACGAAAAGACUAGGCACGUUGACAGACCAAAUAAUAGCUAUCAUAAGCACAAUUGACGAACGGAUUUGGCACCUUGACAGACCAUCUACAUAGCUAUCAUAAGCACAGUUGACGAACAGACUAGGCACAUUGACAGACCAUCUACAUAUAUAUCAUAAGCACAAUUGACGAACAGACUAGGCACCUUGACAGAACAUCUACUUGGUAAUCAUAAGCACAGUUGACGAAUAGACUAGGCACCUUAACAGACCAUCUACUUGGCAAUCAUAAGCACAGUUGACGAACACACUAGGCACCUUGAUCGACCAUCUACAUAGCUAUCAUAAGCACAGUUGACGAACAGACUAUGUACCUUAACAGACCAUCUACAUAGUUAUCAUAAGCACAAUUGACGAACAGACUAGGCACCUUGACAUACCAUCUACUUGGUAAUCAUAAGCACAGUUGACAAACAGACUAUGCACCUGAACAGACCAUCGACUUGGCAAUCAUAAGCAGAGUUGACGAACAGACUAGCCUUUUUGGCAUACCAUCUACAUAGCUAUCAUAGGCACAGUUGACGAGCAGACUAGGCUUCUUGGCAUACCAUCUACAUAGCUAUCAUAAGCACAGUUGAUGAACAGACUAGGCACUUUGACAUACCCUCUACAUAGUUAUCAUAUGCACAGUUGACGAACAGACUUGGCAACUUGACAGACCAUCUACAUAACUAUAUUGAGCACAGUUGACGAACACACUUGGCAUCCUGAUAGACUAUCUACAUAUAUAUCAUAAGCACAGUUGACGAACAGACUUGGCAUCUUGACAGACCAUCAACAAAGCCGUCUUAAGCACAGCUGACGAACAGACUAGGCACCUUGACAGACCAUAUACCUAGCUAUCAUAAGCACAGUUGACGAACCGACUUGGCAUCUUGACAGAUCAUCUACUUAGCUAUCAUAUGAACAUUUGACGAACAGACUGUGCACAUAGACAGACCAUCUACAUAGCUAUCAUAAGCACAGAAGCACAGUUGACAAACAGACUUGGCAACUUGUCGGAUCAUCUACUAAGCUAUCAUAAGUACAGUUGACGAACAGACUAGGCACCUUGACAGACCAUCUACAUAGCUAUCAUAAUCACAGUUGACGGACCGACUAGGCACCUUGACAGACCAUAUACUUGGUAAUCAUAAGCAAAGUUGACUAACAGACUAGGCACAUUGACAGACCAUCUAUAUAGCUAUCAUAAUCGCUGUUGGCGAAUAGACUUGGCAACUUGACAGACCAUCUACAUAGCUAUCAUAGGCACAGUUGACGAGCAGACUAGGCACCUUGACAUACCAUCUACUUGGUAAUCAUAAGCACAGUUGACGAACAGACUAGGCACCUGAACAGACCAUCUACUUGGCAAUCAUAAGCAGAGUUGACGAACAGACUAGGCUUCUUGGCAUACCAUCUACAUAGCUAUCAUAAGCACAGUUGACAAACAGAUUUGGCACCUUGACAGACCAUCUACAUAGCUUUCAUAAGCACAGUUGACGAACAGACUUGGCACCUUGACAGACCAUCUAUAUAGCUAUCAUAAGCACUGUUGACUAACAGACUUGGCACCUUGACAGACCAUCUAUAUAGCUAUCAUAAGCACUGUUGACUAACAGACUUGGCACCUUGACAGACCAUCUACAUAGCUAUCAUAAGCACAGUUGACGAACAGACUUGGCACCUUGACAGACCAUCUACAUAGAUUUCAUAAGGACAGUUGACGAACAGACUUGGCACCUUGACAGACCAUCUAUAUAGCUAUCAUAAGCACUGUUGACUAACAGACUAGGCACCUUGACAGACCAUCUACAUGGCUAUCAUAAGCACAGUUGACGAACAGACUUGGCACAUUGACAGACCAUCUACAUAGCUUUCAUAAGCACUGUUGACUAACAGACUAGGCACCUUGACAGACCAUCUACAUAGCUAUCAUAAGCACAGUUGACGAACAGACUUGGCACCUUGACAGACCAUCUAUAUAGCUAUCAUUAGCACUGUUGACUAACAGACUUGGCACCUUGACAGACCAUCUACAUAGCUUUCAUAAGCACUGUUGACUAACAGACUAGGCACCUUGACAAACCAUCAACAUAGCUUUCAUAAGCACAGUUGACUAACAGACUAGGCACCUUGACAGACCAUCUACAUAGCUAUCAUAAGCACAGUUGACGAAUAGACUUUGGCACCUUGACAGACCAUCUACAUAGCUAUCAUAAGCACAGUUGACGAUCAGACUUGGCACCUUGACAGACCAUCUACAUAGCUAUCAUAAGCACAGUUGACGAACAGACUUGGUACCUUGACAGACCAUCUACAUAGCUUUCAUAAGCACUGUUGACUAACAGACUAGGCAUCUUGACAAACCAUCUACAUAGCUAUCAUAAGCACAGUUGACUAACAGACUAGGCACCUUGACAGACCAUCUACAUAGCUAUCAUAAGCACUGUUGACUAACAGACUAGGCACCUUGACAGACCAUCUACAUAGCUUUCAUAAGCAUAGUUGACGAACAGACUUGGCACCUUGACAGACCAUCUACAUAGCUAUCAUAAGCACUGUUAACUAACAGACUAGGCACCUUGACAGACCAUCUACAUAGCUUUCAUAAGCACAGUUGACUAACAGACUAGGCACCUUGACAGACCAUCUACAUAGCUAUCAUAAGCACAGUUGACGAACAGACGUGGCACCUUGACAGACCAUCUAUAUAGCUAUCAUAAGCAAAGUUGGCGAACAGACUUAGCACCUUGACAGACCAUCUACAUAGCUAUCAUAAGCACAGUUGAUGAACAGACUAGGUACCUUGACAGAUCAUCUACAUAGGUAUCAUAAGCACAGUUGACGAACAGACUUGUCAACUUGACAGACCAUCUUCAUAGCUUUCAUAAGCACAGUUAACGAACAGACAGCGGUUACUGAGGAAAAAUGUGCUGGAAUGAUCAACUUUAUAUAAUAAAAUGUUUGUUAGUACAUUUAUCUUUGGCGAACAACUAAAUGAAACAAUGUCUUUGUACUAGAUUAGUUUAUAAUUUACUAUUAAAUCCAAAUAUAUUUAAAACUAAC